CACUGUGGGAUGAAUGGUAAUUGGAAAUCUGAGCUCACAGUGACGUGGCCCUCAGGAGACCCAGAGCCAAUGAGUGGAUUAGUCUCUCCUUCUAGUUGCGGUCUGGUAGUCGUCGGUGGCAGUGGGACGGCUCGCUGUUGCUCUGAAGGCAGGCGAACAAGCUGCCCGGGAAAGGAGGAAAGUGGUAGAAGCCGACUCCAGAGGAGCCCUAGCAGGUCUUUAGUACGUUUGUGCAGCAGAUUUCAAGACUAAGAGAGAAAGACUGCCUCAUCCCUGCAGGAAGGAAAAAAACAGGAAGAAAAAAAAAAAACUCAACAUGGAAAAUGUCCCCAAGGAAAACAAAGUUGUGGAGAAGGCCCCAGUGCAGAAUGAAGCUCCCACUUUAGGAGGUGGUGAAGACCAGGAGCCUGAAGGAAAUAUUAGAGGGGUUCAGGCUCCACGUGCCCAGGAUUUUGGAGAGGAUGCGCCCAAUAGGCUUGUUGAUAACAUUGAUAUGAUAGAUGGAGAUGCAGAUGAUAUGGAACGGUUCAUGGAGGAGAUGAGAGAGCUAAGGAGGAAAAUUAGGGAACUUCAGUUGAGGUACAGUCUGCGCAUUCUUAUAGGGGACCCCCCUCAGCAUGAUCAUCAUGAUGAGUUUUGCCUUAUGCCUUGAAUCUUGAGAUUAAUAAUCAUAAAAUCCCUGCUUUCCAAAUUCGCAUUUUUCCUGGUGUACCUUUAAUGUGAACCUUUUGGCAUUCUUCUGCCAUUUUCUGAUUAGAGAUUGCUUUUAGACCUAGUCUGUAAGUUUUUCUGUCAGAAGAGGAUUUUCAUCAACUUUCAUGGAAAGAUGUUUAUUGCACACUGUAAAGUUAAUAAAGCAAUUUAAAAGUAGUCUAUAGAUAUGUGAUUUCAUUUAAAAGCAUAUGUAUGCACACUAUAUAUAAAAUACAUAAUUUAUGUGAAAUAUUAUACAUAUGAAAACCAGAAUGUGCUUUUUCUAUGUCGUAUAGUUACUGGUACUUUUAAAUUUCUUAAUUUUUUUUAUUGGUUAACUGUUUUUUUUUCUCACUUUUUCAAAAUGAAUACAUAUGUUUUGUACGUAUCAGGAAAAAAAAAAAAAAAGAAGCAACAAACUUGCCAAUCAGCUUAUACAGGGAAUGGGGACAAUUAAUAAACACUUGAAACACGAUUUAAAGACAUAUAAAUCUCAUAUUACCUGUGGAUCUCUCAUUUAGAAACACAUAUCUGAUAAUUACAGAUACAUUCCAUUAUAAAUGUCUUAGAGAGCUGCUGUGGGAAUCAAAUGAGGUAAUGACUGAGCCCUGUGUCUUGCUCUAUUUAUACAUGCAAGGCUCCAGCCCUCCAGGUGCCCUUCAUUUUUAGGGAAGAUUCCAAAGAGUGUACCAAUCAGGAGUCCAACUGAUUUAUAGGCACAUCUUUCUCUUCUGCUGGGUCUUGCUCCCUCCACUGGCUUCUACCACUGCGGACAUACUGGACUCCUGAAGAUGACAAAGACUCACCAAUUUUGGGUCUUUGUGGACCCCUCAGUGGUUCCACUAGACCCUUCAGUGGUUCGAAUCCCCAUUUUGCCUUUUCAAAAAUGUAUGGAAUGUUCCUCCCUGCCUUAGAGUUAUACUUAAACCAGAUGGAUACUUCACCAACACUGCAUAUAGAUGCAAACAACCCUUUAUGGUUUUCUCAUACUUCCUUCUUCAUCCCCUUCCCCCUGACAAAUUUGAGUGGCACUCAUGAUAGUGUGCUCAGAAUUGUAUUAUCUCUUCCAUCCUCUGAGAAAUAUAGCCCAGUCUCCUUGACUAUCCAUUUUCUGUGCAGACAUUGCUACAGGUUUCAUUCUGCACAUACACAGGAGUUGUAGGGAUAAUUUUAUGUUCUCAAGACUGUUUUGGCCCACAGCACCCUGAUCUUAGGAGUUCCCAGUAGUCUACACUAACUUACAUAGAUCCAGAUAAGUUUCCCUCUUCCUUUGCUUUGAGAUUUGCUGUGUCAAAUAAACCUGUAACUAAAGAUUGAUGGGAAAUAAUGGCAGGAACUGGGGAUCUGGUAGGUGAAUCCCAGUUUUAAGGCAUCGUUAUAAUCAUCACUGUUCCCCAGUAGUCUAUGCCCUUCUCACAGUACAUAUUUUGUCUCAUUUAUCCUGGCACCCUUAGUGUUUAGUACAGGGCCUGAUAAGUUGUAGGACACAACAGUUAAUUAUAGCUGAGUUGAAUCCUGCAAUCUGUACCCAGGGUUGCUUCUGAUCAUUUAUGGGCAAGCACUUAUUUUCCCUACAGACUGUAGCUUGCAAUUAAAAAGGAACACAGCAGAAGAAGCAUUAUGCACCAAUUU